rnacentral:rRNA from 1 species
GAUGAACGCUGGCGGCGUGCUUAACACAUGCAAGUCGAACGAAACACCUUAUUUGAUUUUCUUCGGAACUGAAGAUUUGGUGAUUGAGUGGCGGACGGGUGCGUAACGCGUGGGUAACCUGCCCUGUACAGGGGGAUAACAGUCAGAAAUGACUGCUAAUACCGCAUAAGACCACAGCACCGCAUGGUGCAGGGGUGAAAACUCCGGUGGUACAGGAUGGACCCGCGUCUGAUUAGCUGGUUGGUGAGGUAACGGCUCACCAAGGCGACGAUCAGUAGCCGGCUUGAGAGAGUGAACGGCCACAUUGGGACUGAGACACGGCCCAAACUCCUACGGGAGGCAGCAGUGGGGAAUAUUGCACAAUGGGGGAAACCCUGAUGCAGCGACGCCGCGUGAGUGAAGAAGUAUUUCGGGAUGUAAAGCUCUAUCAGCAGGGAAGAAAAUGACGGUACCUGACUAAGAAGCCCCGGCUAACUACGUG